rnacentral:lncRNA from 1 species
AGCCCUUCUUAGUCUCGGAGGAAUGUCUCCAAUUUCUCAUCAAAGCCUACCAGUCUCUUCCCUGCUAGCAAGUAAUCUUGCAUUGUAGGUAUCAGCUGACCAUAUGAAGAUGAUCUUGUGCAUAUUGGCAAGAGACUCCAUACAGACUAGCAGAAGACUCCAAAAGACUAACAGAGAAGCUGUCAGCAAUGUUCAGUGUAAAAUGGAAACUUAUGGAAGUCCCAG